rnacentral:lncRNA from 1 species
CAGACAAACAAAAAGACAGCAGUAACCUCUGCAGACUUAAAUGUCCCUGUCUGACAGCUUUGAAGAGAGCAGUGGUUCUCCCAGCACGCAGCUGGAGUUCUGAGAAAGGGCAGACUGCCUCCUCAAGUGGGUCCCUGACCCCUGACCCCCGAGCAGCCUAACUGGGAGGCACCCCCCAGUAGGGGUAGACUGCCACCUCACACGGCCAGGUACUCCUCUGAGACAAAACUUCCAGAGGAACGAUCAGACAGCAGCAUUCGCAGUUCACGAAAAUCCGCUGUUCUGCAGCCACUGCUGCUGAUACCCAGGCAAACACGGUCUGGAGUGGACCUCUAGCAAACUCCAACAGACCUGCAGCUGAGGGUCCUGUCUGUUAGAAGGAAAACUAACAAACAGAAAGGACAUCCACACCAAACACCCAUCUGUACAUCAUCAAAGACCAAAAGUAGAUAAAACAAUAAAGAUGGGGAAAAAACAGAGCAGAAAAACUGGAAACUCUAAAAAGCAGAGCGCCUCUCCUCCUCCA